rnacentral:rRNA from 1 species
AUUGAACGCUGGCGGCAGGCCUAACACAUGCAAGUCGAGCGAGCGGCGGACGGGUGAGUAAUGCCUGGGAAUUGCAAAGUCGAGGGGGAUAACAGUUGGAAACGACUGCUAAUACCGCAUACGAUUGGAUUGCCCAGGUUGGAUGAGCUAGUUGGUGAGGUAAUGGCUCACAAAGGCGACGAUCCCUGGCCGGUCUGAGAGGAUGAUCAGACAAACUGGAACUGAGACACGGUCCAGCCUCCUACGGGAGGCAGCAGUGGGGAAUAUUGCACAAUGGGUGAAACCCUGAUGCAGCCAUGCCGCGUGUGUGAAGAAGGCCUUCGGGUUGUAAAGCACUUUCAGCGAGGAGGCGUUACUCGCAGAAGAAGCACCGGCUAACUCCGUGCCAGCAGCCGCGGUAAUUC